UCUCUAUUUUCUGAAUUCGCUAUGUAUAAAGGCAAUUUUGUUAUCAUGGUUUUUUCAUACUUAAAGUUACUUCAAUUACAGUAUAAUUUAGGGAAGGGGAUAAACAUUUCUGUCGAAAUAUUAAAGUAACCUAGGUAAUAUUCUGCAAAUGUAAUUGUAUUUUGAAACUAAGAAAAAGUUACAAGAUUUAAAAAAAAAUCUAAAUGUAAAUAUAGAGGAGAAACUAGGCUCACUUUGGGGAGAGGUGUAGUGAAGGAAAAUCUUUUGGUCAUAUGACUUAAAAUUUCAAUUUAGUUCUCUGGCAGCACUAAAGAGAAUUGAUUUACAUUUGUUUUGUAUCACUGCAGAAAAUCCAAGCAGGGAGUUGGCCGUCAAAUAAUUAUUCUCUCUGCUGUGGUUUUCUGCGGAGUCCUGUCAAGUAACUGAAGUUUCUUUUUCUGCACAGGAAGGGAAAGGCCCUCUGUGUCGUGGCUUCUAUCACUGGUAGAUCUGCAAUAUGUUACACUUCACCUGAAGAGAAGUGAAAACAGAGAGCUCUCUAACAGCAGGUCCCAUUUACACCACAUAUCAGAGAGUUGGAGAGGUGACAAUGUGAGCAAUGUGAGGAGGACAUGGCAGCCCCAUGCGGAGGAGAGACGUCUGUGUGAAGUUUGCUCUGUUUGCACAGGAGUCGAGUAUCAGUUCUGCUUUCUUUGUUCAGGGAAAACUAGUCAACAGUGCAAGAAGGUGAUCAGCGCAAGCUUUACUUAAUAUCAUGGCUUUUGUUUUGUUUGUAAAACUUCUGGAUCCACACACACACCAGUUUGGACUUGAUCUCAACUUAAAGCGGAUCUGAUCUGAUGCUGGGUUGGGAGGACAUAUCCUAGACUGCAGCAUCGCCUUGUUAUGUCUUACCUACAUCUGUUACUAAUGGUGUAUCAAAGGCCACCCCCAAAUUUUAGAUUGUUGUAGAAUAAUGCCGUAGGACAUGCGUUAAGAGGUAGGUACCAACAAUCCAUGUGUCACUUUGCAAAGCGUAAGUAUCGAAAUUCCCUGUUAUGGAAAUAAUUCUUUGGGGAGUGGAACUGUGAAAAUAAUUUCAACAUAGUUUCACCUCAUCUUUGUGAUUUUUUGAUGCAUUGCAACAAGGGGUUCUGUUUAUCAUGUUCUUUUUUUUAAAAAGCUAGUGAAGGAUUGGAAUAUUUUUUUAAAACCCAGGUGCCGUUGGAGACACUAGAACAGGAUGCUGGAAAAUAAGCGAAAGGAUUGUGUUUAUUUUCACAGUCUCCAAGGUGAAAUCCCUCCUUGGCAGCUGGCUUAGGAAAGAAUGGGAGGGGAGACCGUAAUGAGCUGAAAGCACCCUCAGCUGGAGACAAAUAUAUGCAAAUGAGAUGCACAAACAAAGGCGCCUGGACAGAGAAAUAUCUGCCAUUCCAGCAAAAUGCUGCCUGCAGCUAGAAGAUGAACAGCUUUGAUAAAAUGGUAACAGAAAGCACCUUUUUAUCCUCCAGCUUGUUUUACAUUGCAAUAGACCAUUGUCAUUGGAACCCAUUAGAGCAUGCAGAGGGUCUCUGCCCUGGUUGCAGGCGUGGGUGGCAGGGCUGCAGAAACACUUGUUUCCAUGCUUCGUGAAAUAUAAUCACUGUGGAUGGAGACACAGGCAGAUAGAGAGAUAUCUCUCUCCUCCCCCCCUCCGCCCCUUUGCCUUUGGUAGAUUGUCAAGUUUAUUUUACAUGUUUCUUGGUCUUUGGGACACUGCAUUUUGUUUUGUGCAUUUCCCCUCUGAGUAAGCAUUGCCACACCAAAGGGGACAAUGCUGCUCUUUGAUAAAGAUUUUACAGACAGAAAACUCACUAGUUGUCAACCAGAGUGGGAACAGCACCCAAACAGCCCGCCUUCAUGAAGGCAAUCAAGUCUCUCCUGCUAAUUCAAUGACAAGACCUGGGACAUGCUGAUUUUAAUAAGCUCUCAAAGGCAAUCUACGACUUUUAAAAGUCGCUCUUUUUAAUUAAAUUGCAUGGGCGUCAUAUAUUGCCACAUCCAUCCCGUUACAGCUGUUUCCAAAUGUGUGUGUGUGUGUGUAAAUAAGACAGAAAUAAAACAACAGUUUUCUGUUCAGAUUUCUGGAUUCUCACAGAAAUUUCUUUUAAAAAAUCUCAGAGUGGCACAGUAAUGCUCUAACUGCAAUAAUCCAUGCAAAUUUUCAUUUUGCUUAUUAGACAUAAUAUUUUGAUUACAGAGCUUUGCCAUUGGAAUAUUUCUCUUAUAUUCAUUUUAAUUGUUGAGGUGAGUGCAUGAUGGAUAAAUGGAAAGAUAUAUAUAUAUACAAGUCUAUAUCUUUCAAACUAACACUUGACUUAAUUAGAGCUUUCAUUCAGAAUCUCUGCUCCAAUGUUUUUAUGUCCAUAGAAUUUUUAAAAAUUCUCCCUUCAAGGCAUGCUUGGAAAAUCUGAAUGUUUAUAGUUGUGAUACUAGGAAGUUUGUUUGUUUUCCCUAUGCCUGAGCAUGUGGUCCAUUUUUUAUAUGUUCACAACUGCAAUGUAAACUAAAAUGUGCAUGCUAUGUUUAUGUCUCCACAAAUUCUAUUUUUAACAGUACACAAAUCUCUUUUUUCUUAAUCAUAGGUUCCUUAUCUUCAGAGCCUCAAGAGUUAAGUGAAACCCGGUUGUAUUAAGAAAGAUUUCUCCUCCCGCUCAGGUUUGAAGCAGUGGCUGUGUUAUUACAUUCAGUGGCUGUUGUUUAGAAAGGACAAGCCGCAUCUUAGGCACAGAACAAUGAAAUUACAGCUGAGAUUUAGGUUAGCAAACGCCUUCUUCCGCAGGCUUUUAUGAUUCAUUAUUUCCCAUUAAAUACAGUAUUAGAAGUGUACACCAGAUAGCUCAUGGUUGCUGCUCUCCGAGCACAUUAUCUAUAUUACACAGGCCUGGGGAGCAGAAUUAGAAAACUUUUGGGGAAUGAGCAAUAUGUGUUUGCUGAUAGAAGUACCAUAUGGCUCAUCUUCAUCAAUUGCUUUCAUUGCGACUCGGAUGCUGGAGAAAUUAAAGUUUUAUUUGAUGUGGCACUGCUUAAUGAACUGUCUUCUGUUAGGAAAAUUGAAUAUGUUUCCUGUUAUUUGAGUGCAGAGCCCUCAUGGUUUGGGGUUGAUGAGGGAUGCAUUAUGUAUUGUUUAUUUUAGCAUUUUGAAAACAAAAGCCAAAUAUUGAAGAUAAAAUUGUGUUGCAUUAGAGCUACCUUUCCACAUUUUUUUCCUACUUGGUUUUCUUACACAAUCAUAGACCCCCUUUUUAAAUUUUUCAGUUUGUCAUUAUGUUCAUUAUUUAAGUGGUGGAAUGAUUGUAUACUUUUUGAUAUUUUCUUUUGGUAUGAAAUAUAUAUUGAAUCACUUCAUGUAAUCCCUGUAUUACAAUUUUUAAGCAUAUGGUAGAAUCAUCAGUAAAAAAAAGGAAAUGUUUCUUAUAAGCUUUCUUGGUUAACUUUUGAUUGCAACCCCCCCCCCCCUUGGGAAGUUUUAAAUGCUUGAGUAAUUUGUGUUGAGAUAUGCUUUCUUGUGAGCAUAACAUGCCAAAAAUGGCUGGGAAGAAAAAUCUAGGUGAUUGUCUACAGAAGGGUAAAAACAUCUGAACCUUUUCUAAGCAUGCAUCUCCAAAUUAUAUAGUUAUGAUAUCACUCUAAGUUGCUAUCUGUAACACAGUAAAAAUUAUAUUGGAGGGUGAGGGGGAAGAAAAUGUAGAUUGUUACCAAAUGAUCUGCUUCCAUUUAGGUUAAUUAAGUUUCAGCAACAAAAAAUUGAAACUCGGAUAAAUUCAGAAUAAAAGUAUAAAUUUAAGAUGGUUAAAAUCAAACCAUAACAUUUGACAUUUGUAGCAAAGUUGUAUAUUACAGUAGUUAAUUUGCUAAUUAGUGAUUCAGCACAGGCAUGUUUUAAUUUGGGGGAGGAAAAGGGGGGAGGCAUGUGAACCAUGCUGGAAAUUUUCCAAGGCGUUCCAGAGUCAACUUUGAACAAAUAAGAGGGAUCCCCUUCUCCUCAAGCUUUUCGGCACUUCCAUCUCAGCCAGAAAUAAACAAACAGAUUUGUGUAUGUUUGUGUAAUGUGUCUUUUCAGUUAAGAUGAGACAAAUGUUUCACUGGUUGUAUUUUAGAGUCCUGUUUGACAUAAAAAGCAAUUUCUCCUUUAUACUCUCUGAUAUGUUUUUUCCCUUUUUUAUAAGCAAUGGCUCCUAUUCCACAAAUGCCCUUUGGUUUCUAAAUGAUGUCUAGUAUUAGAAGUAGACUAUAUUAUUGUUUGUGGUUGCAGAGGAAAACUCCACCACGUGCAUCAAAGAAAAGUGAAGAAGAGCAGUGCCUUUGUCUUUCUGCUUUUGUUGGAGAGGCAGCAGUAAAAAUAAAACCCGUCUUUGUUUUCCA